rnacentral:rRNA from 1 species
CAGCAGCCGCGGUAAUACGUAGGGGGCAAGCGUUGUCCGGAAUUAUUGGGCGUAAAGCGCGCGCAGGCGGUCAUGUAAGUCUGGUGUUUAAUCCCGGGGCUCAACCCCGGAUCGCACUGGAAACUGGGUGACUUGAGUGCAGAAGAGGAGAGUGGAAUUCCACGUGUAGCGGUGAAAUGCGUAGAGAUGUGGAGGAACACCAGUGGCGAAGGCGACUCUCUGGGCUGUAACUGACGCUGAGGCGCGAAAGCGUGGGGAGCAAACAGGAUUAGAGACCCGUGUAGUCCCUGUCUCUUAUACA